CUGCUUUUGGAAACAAUGAAAGCAAUAUGGCAGAAAUACGGCAUAGAAAUACAUAUUAUAUUAUACACCAAGAUAUAGUAAAAAUGAAUAUACUGGCUUCUUCCAGGCAAACAUGGUGGCAGUCUAGAUGCAGAACUCUUUCUUUCCUCACCACUUACUGAUACAGACUACCUCAAAAAGCCAAAAAAACCCAAAUUCAUAUGAUCGAAGGGACUCUACAGUAAGGCAUAGCACUGAAGGAGGAAUCAGAUGACUUCUUGGUAUGAAGAUUAUUAAGUGCAAAUACAAAGUUCUCCAAACAACUGAGGGACAUAGCAUUGAAAGUCAAGGACAAACUGGGUAUAGAUUCAAGGAUUUACAAAGAAGACAGCAAAAAAAAGUUACGCCAUAUCCAAAGGGACUAUUUUCAAGACUGCAGUGCAAGGUCUUCUAAGAACUGUGAGUAAGCCCUUUGUUACAUGUGCCCUCUAAACUUGAUCUCACUUUCUGUUGAGCUCUGUGUGUAUUUAUGGUAGAAUAUUCAUGUUACAGAUUUCAGUUUUAUUUAUUUUUUUGCCAGAUGUUCUUAAUAUGCCAUCUUAGUAAGCAUACCUUUCUAAAAGCUAAUCAGUCUGUGGGACUAAUUGAUAGGAAUUUAUAAUCCAGAAGGAAGCACAAUGUCAGGCUCAUGAGCUAUCGCUUUGCAAAGACAGCUUCAUACCCUUUGGAACAACAGCAGAGCACUGAGGAAAUGCAGUAAGCACAUUGUACGGACUCAACUUGCCAUUAUAGGUGGAGGUUGGGAUAGUCCCCCAGAAUAUUUACUACAUUUUAUUCUCCGUAAAAAGGACAUAAUGUCUUUUAAUCAGCAUUCACUCUAUUAUGCACU
rnacentral:lncRNA from 1 species